GACGAACGCUGGCGGCGUGCUUAACACAUGCGAGUCGAACGGAAAGGCCCUGCUUUUGUGGGGUGCUCGAGUGGCGAACGGGUGAGUAACUCGUGAGUAACCUGCCCUUGACUUUGGGAUAACUUCAGGAAACUGGGGCUAAUACCGGAUAGGAGCUCCUGCUGCAUGGUGGGGGUUGGAAAGUUUCGGCGGUUGGGGAUGGACUCGCGGCUUAUCAGCUUGUUGGUGGGGUAGUGGCUUACCAAGGCUUUGACGGGUAGCCGGCCUGAGAGGGUGACCGGCCACAUUGGGACUGAGAUACGGCCCAGACUCCUACGGGAGGCAGCAGUGGGGAAUAUUGCAGAAUGGGCGGAAGCCUGAUGCAGCAACGCCGCGUGCGGGAUGACGGCCUUCGGGUUGUAAACCGCUUUCGCCUGUGACGAAGCGUGAGUGACGGUAAUGGGUAAAGAAGCACCGGCUAACUACGUG
rnacentral:rRNA from 1 species